AGCUCAUGCAGGACAAAAUAUAUUCUGAUGGGAGCCGACUUGGAAACUGAAAUAGAUUUGAAACAUUCAUUUGCAUAAUGCAUCUGCCCUGCUGCUCUAAGAGCAUUUAUAUUCCUGUGAGUUGAACACUUCAUGACUGAGAGCCGUCCUUCAUGACAACAGAACCCACAACAACCAUGACUUUAUCACAGUCUUAAUCUGGACACUUGCUUUCUACGUCAAGGAAUCCAGAGGACAGGUCACUGUGACCCAGACUCCUACAGUGAAAACUGUUCUCUCAGGACAGAAAGUCUCUAUGAUCUGUAAAGCCAGCAGUAAUGUGUAUAGUAAUUGUUACAAUGGUCAGUCAUGGAACCAUCAGUGUCUAUCCUGGUACCAACAGAAACCAGGAGAAAAACCCAAACUAAUGAUGCUCCCGGGGAACACACUCCAUUCUGGGACUCCAUCUAGAUUCAGUGGCAGUGGAUCAGGGAGUGACUUCACUCUGACCAUCAGUGGAGUCCAGGCUGAAGAUGCAGGAGAUUACUACUGUCAGAGUUUACACUAUCCUGGUAGCACUCGGUGGUUCACACAGUGAUACAGAGUCGUACAAAAACCUCCCUCAGUCAGACUGCACAGUGACUGUACUGAUACAGCUGGGACCUACUGCAGGUGCUGAGGGGGAAGAGACAG